rfam:Triticum aestivum genome assembly, contig: Triticum_aestivum_CS42_TGACv1_scaffold_061147_1DL
AUUAUACUCCCUUCGUCCGAAAAUACUUGUCAUCAAAAUGGAUAAAAAAAGAUGUAUUUAGACAUAUUUUAGUUCUAGAUAUUUUUUUAUUCAUUUUGAUGACAAGUAUUUUCAGACGAAGGGAGUACAUC